rnacentral:rRNA from 1 species
UACGGGGGGAGCAAGCGUUGUUCGGAUUUACUGGGCGUAAAGGGCGCGUAGGCGGCCACCGCAAGUCGACUGUGAAAUCUCCGGGCUUAACCCGGAAAGGUCAGCCGAUACUGCGGGGCUAGAGUGCAGAAGGGGCAACUGGAAUUCUCGGUGUAGCGGUAAAAUGCGUAGAUAUCGAGAGGAACACCUGCGGCGAAGGCGGGUUGCUGGGCUGACACUGACGCUGAUGCGCGAAAGCUAGGGGAGCGAACGGG